rnacentral:lncRNA from 13 species
AGGGGGUUCUGCUACUAAGUAAAGUUUGAGAACAGAGUACUGCUGAAUGACUUGUAUUUUAGGUUGCUCUAAGGGAAGCCUGCUGCCAUGUCUUGAGGACACUCCAACAGCUCUGUGGAGAAGCCCACGUGAGACGGGAUUUCAUCAUGUUGGGCAGGCUGGUCUAGCUGACAGUUUCACAGCAAACUAA